rnacentral:rRNA from 1 species
GUGGGGAAUAUUGGACAAUGGGCGCAAGCCUGAUCCAGCCAUGCCGCGUGUGUGAAGAAGGCCUUUUGGUUGUAAAGCACUUUAAGCGAGGAGGAGGCUCCUUUAGUUAAUACCUAAAGUGAGUGGACGUUACUCGCAGAAUAAGCACCGGCUAACUCUGUGCCAGCAGCCGCGGUAAUACAGAGGGUGCGAGUGUUAAUCGGAUUUACUGGGCGUAAAGCGUGCGUAGGCGGCUUUUUAAGUCGGAUGUGAAAUCCCUGAGCUUAACUUAGGAAUUGCAUUCGAUACUGGAAAGCUAGAGUAUGGGAGAGGAUGGUAGAAUUCCAGGUGUAGCGGUGAAAUGCGUAGAGAUCUGGAGGAAUACCGAUGGCGAAGGCAGCCAUCUGGCCUAAUACUGACGCUGAGGUACGAAAGCAUGGGGAGCAAACAGGAUUAGAUACCCUGGUAGUCC